rnacentral:pre_miRNA from 1 species
CAAGUACUCCCUCCGUUCCGAAUUACUUGUCUCGGAAAUGGAUGUAUCUACAACUAAAAUACGUCUAGAUACAUCCAUUUCCGCGACAAGUAAUUCCGAACGGAGGGAGUAGGAA